GUACACAUAGUUUAAUCAAAAUAUUAGGC
rnacentral:tRNA from 1 species